GGAGGUGGGCAAAUCUCGCUGGGGCCUCCAAAUGUUACGGAAGAAAUGCCCAACAAGAACCACUGACCACAAAUCUGUGAAAGCUAAGAGUAAGUUUAUU
rnacentral:miRNA from 1 species